rnacentral:tRNA from 1 species
AGGUAGGAUGGCUGAGUAAGCGGUGGAUUGUAGUCCCAUAGACAGAGGUUCGAGCCCUCUUCUUAUCA